GUGCUCACUUGAGCACAUCUCCUAAAAUUGGAACAACACAGAAAAGAUUAGCACGGCCCCCACACAAGUAGAGAUGCAAAUUUACAAAGCGUCCCCUAUUUUU